ensembl:lncRNA
UUGCAAUACAGUUGGCUGAUUAUCAUAAAUUCAAAUUGUUGGAUAUCCUGGCUGGAUUCCAAAAGGAAACAAAACAAUAAGAACAUCUGCACUUUCCCUGACCAGUUAAAAGCUAUGAUCCCUUAUUGGAGUAUCGGUUGAAUCCGCUUUAAUCAGUGUAGAUGAAGGGGAGAAAACAGGCUAAAGAAGGAUUUUAACACCUUGAGACAAUUGAGACAUGAAUUGUGUAUGUGUGCCAUUCAGAGGGUGAAGACAACCGAUUUUAGUGCCUUUGAACGGGGUCUGGUAGUAGGUACCAGGUGCACUGGUUUGAGUGUGUGAAGAACUGCAACACUGCUGUGUUUUUCACUCUCAACAGUUUCCUGUGUGGAUCAAGAAUAUUCCACGAGCUAAAGGACACCCAGUCAACUUGACACAACUGUGGGAAGCAUUGGAGUCAACAUGGGCCAUCAUCCCUGUGGAACGCUUUCGACACCUUGUAGAGUCCGUGCCCCGACGAAUUGACGCUGUUCUGAUGGCAAAAGGAGGUGCAACUCAAUAUUAGAAAUUCCCAACCAACCCCCUUUCCAAGAAGGUCUGGUUCCGACAGAGAUACACUGCGAACCAAGGGAUUUACAUAAUGAAAAUUCCACGAGAAAAUCUGUUGGCCAACAAGCGGGAAAUUUAUUCAGAGAACACAAGAUGUGUUGGAACCAUGUAACCCAGACCAGGACCAACACAAACAGUCACCUAACCCCAUGAUGUCUGUGAGUGAGCAGAGAAGAGAGGAGAAAGAGGACAGCAGGAAGUUAUCACAGUAUGAAGAGACUUCCCUCGACAUACUACACGUCAACCCAACUAACAAUUGCCCUUCCUGUUGGUGUUUUGUUUUGUGAGCCGUCCAGGACUCCUAAAUUAGACGCCUCUCCCUGGUUUUACUACAACUUAUCAUCUCCUCUUGGCAUUGUUGCAGACAUCAAUCCAACCGAGAGAGCUGCAUCCUCUAUUUUUCAUGUAAAGAGGCAAGGUUUGUGUCCUAAAUAGCACCCUUUUCCCGAGGUAGUGCAUUCGUUUGGACCAGACAUGGUCAAAAGUAGUGGACUACAUAGGGAAUAGGAUGCCAUUUGGGAUACAGUUAUGGCCCUGGAAGCAUUGUCAGUAAAUCAGAAAGUAUUUUUCUGGUGUGGAACCCACAGCAGCUGUCUCAAUAGGGUGGUGGGGACUACUGUGAGUCUGAAGUUUGAGAGUGGGGGUUGAGAGAUAUCGGUUUGUUAGACUUCGAUAGACUUCGGUUUGUUUAAUUUAGUUCACCCUUCUUCACUCAUACUUUUUUUUGUCACAAAUGAGCUAUAAAUUGAUGAUGUAGUGACGGGAGGAAGAAAGUGGACACGAGGUGGGUAGACACUAUGCCUCCGACUGUCAUCAUAAACUGUGAAAGACGACAACAAUAACAACAACAACAAAACAACAGCAGUCUCACCACACUAGUAAAUCUCUCUGUUGGUGUAACAGACAAUACAAGGACCUGAACAAAAGAAAUGAAGAAUGGAGAGAGGGAGGGAGACUGGAGAGGAAGGAAAGAGUAGAGACAAAAGAGGAGAGAAAUCGUUUGGACAGGGAAUCAAGUUGAGAUAGGGAGUGGUUAAGAAGAAAUAGAGAGUGAAGAUGAGAAUGAGACAGAAGAGAAGAGGGAGAUAUGAAAGGGAGAUAGGAAAUGAGACUGGAAAGGAGAGGGAGAGAGGGGUGACGGAGCGAUAGAGACAGAAGAGGAGAGGGAGAGAGAGGUUAAGGCGCAGUAGGCUGAAGAGGAAAGGGUGAGAUAGAAGGAGAAGGAGAGUGUUUAAGGGCCAGCAGUCUGAUAGGUCUGUCUGUGAAACCUCAGUCACACUUCAGUGAAAAGCAACCUUAUGUACAGCCCCCACUCUGAGCACAUCUAUAUUCGCAACUACGAAUACACACACACACACACACACACAUAAACUCGAAGGAGGGAACUUGGAUCUGGUCUGCUGCAGAGGACAUGGGGUGACAUGGAGGCACCCGCCGGACAAGACAGUUUGUGUGUGUGUGUUUGUGUGCGUGUGUGAACAGUUGGAGACGCUGGCUCAGGAAAUCCCCCUGACCGGACAGGAGAGGACGGUGGCUUUAACGCACUGUGGUUUUCAGAACGACCCUUUCCUGUUUACCAAGGGCCGGCA